AGGUUCUGGGAAUGCAGAGGCAGGGGUCUGAAGAACAAAGCUGGCCGUCGAAUCCCAGCACACAUCCUUGCCCGUUGCUUUAUGCGAAGGAGCAGUGGAAGGUUUUGUAAAGAGUUCAGAUCAGGCAUCAUGUCCAAGGGAACUGCUGCGUCAAGCCCAGAAGGCUGAAACGUCAUCUGGUCUUGUUUGUUUUUAUUUUCUAUUUGGCCUUCUGAAAACUAGGUAUUAAACUUUAUUUCUUCUUAAGGAAAUUUCUGAAGUGACCAGGAUUUGAAAUAACAAAGAAAAUGCGUAGAUUCUCAGACAAGAGAAUGUUUGAUCUUUUCAUACUGAUUCGAAUAUGAAUGUGGAUGAAAAAGCAGACAGUAAAGAUGCAUUUUUGCCCUUUC